UUAUGGCUCAGGAUGAACGCUGGCGGCGUGCCUAACACAUGCAAGUCGAGCGAUCUCUCGGAGAAGAGCGGCGGACGGGUGAGUAACGCGUGGGUAACCUGCCUCAUACACAUGGAUAACAUACCGAAAGGUAUGCUAAUACAGGAUAAUAUAAGAGAUUCACAUGGAUUUCUUAUCAAAGCUCCGGCGAUAUGAGAUGGACCCGCGUCUGAUUAGCUAGUUGGUAAGGUAACGGCUUACCAAGGCGACGAUCAGUAGCCGACCUGAGAGGGUGAUCGGCCACAUUGGAACUGAGACACGGUCCAAACUCCUACGGGAGGCAGCAGUGGGGAAUAUUGCACAAUGGGCGAAAGCCUGAUGCAAGCAACGCCGCGUGAGUGAUGAAGGCCUUCGGGUCGUAAAACUCUGUCCUCAAGGAAGAUAAUGACGGUACUUGAGGAGGAAGCCCCGGCUAACUACGUGCCAGCAGCUGC
rnacentral:rRNA from 1 species